CAAGCCCCUCGGGAUUUUGAGUACUUUUAAUCUUGCAGAUAACUUGAAAGUCAAGCGAUUACUUGAUAAGAUGGGUAUUUAUAUCGCGAUCAGCCACAUGAAUCAUCCUGAACCUUUCAACGUUUCACUCGAACUUGAACUCUAAAUGGCUUUUAUACAAUUUGCUGUAGUAUUUGCCCUAUUGGCUUCGCUGGGUUUAACCCAGGCAGAGCUGAAAAACACUGGUGGACAUCAAAUCAUUGAUGGAAAUUGCACGGAUAUCUCACGCAGCGAUCGAGUUUAUUUUCAUCAAGUUGACAAAAUGGCCUUUCCAUUCUUUAUCAGAUCUGAAACGGAUACUUAUUAUGGUGACAGAUCAAUAAGCUGCAUCAUGGCAAUUAACGAAAAAGACAUCAGCACUGGAGGCACAGUGAUAAUUACGAGUGGCGGCGUGGGUCACUCCUAUGUAACCAUGCAAUUCAAGUCCUACAGAAGUCAUGGACUGGAUUUUUCCGUAUCAGUUUAUUCCAACACUGAAGCGUAUUUCAAUGAUAACCCAUAGAAAAAAUACCAAUCCUUAAUUAAAAAAUAGUCCCGUUUGAAA